UAACGCAUUAAGUGCCCCGCCUGGGGAGUACGGCCGCAAGGCUAAAACUCAAAGGAAUUGACGGGGGCCCGCACAAGCGGCGGAGCAUGCGGAUUAAUUCGAUGCAACGCGAAGAACCUUACCAAGGCUUGACAUGUGCCAGACCGCUCCAGAGAUGGGGUUUCCCUUCGGGGCUGGUUCACAGGUGGUGCAUGGUUGUCGUCAGCUCGUGUCGUGAGAUGUUGGGUUAAGUCCCGCAACGAGCGCAACCCUCGUUCCAUGUUGCCAGCACGUAGUGGUGGGGACUCAUGGGAGACUGCCGGGGUCAACUCGGAGGAAGGUGGGGAUGACGUCAAAUCAUCAUGCCCCUUAUGUCUUGGGCUUCACGCAUGCUACAAUGGCCGGUACAAUGGGUUGCGAUACUGUGAGGUGGAGCUAAUCCCUAAAAGCCGGUCUCAGUUCGGAUUGGGGUCUGCAACUCGACCCCAUGAAGUCGGAGUCGCUAGUAAUCGCAGAUCAGCAACGCUGCGGUGAAUACGUUCCCGGGCCUUGUACACACCGCCCGUCAAGUCACGAAAGUUGGUAACACCCGAAGCCGAUGGCCUAACCAC
rnacentral:rRNA from 1 species